CACAGCCUGUAAUUCAUGUGGUCCAAGGUCCUCCGCCGGCCCAAGCUCCAGCGGCUCCUGCUCCGGCCCAGGCAGUAAUUAUUCCACCACAUCUGACUACUGCUGCGGGACGGAUGAAAUGUCAUUACUGCCAGAAGGAGGUCGUGACAGAGGUAAAAUAUGUCAAUGGCAUGUUGGUGUGGGUCCUCGUUGGAACUCUUGGCCUUUUAGGGAUCUGGCCGUGUUGUUUGAUUCCUUUCUGUGUGAACGGCUGCAAGGAUGUAAAGCAUACCUGUCCCAACUGCAAAACCAUCGUCAGUGUGUACAAACGCAUGUAGCUUGCUCUGAAACAAAGAAAAUCUGAUAGACCAACAUAAAAACUCUGAGUGUCUUUA